GCUGAGCCCCUAACGCUGGCCUUGCCUGCUGUGAAGGGGGGAGGGGGAGGGCGAGGUGAACAGGCUCAAGGGGAGAUUAAGAACAAUAAUCCCAUUCAUAUGUAAACUUCCCAGGGUUUAAUAAUACAAUUUUUGCAUUGUCUUACCAGGUCUUACUGCCCAGGGCAGCUGCCAAGGUUUCCGUGUCUUUGACCCCUUGCCACGCAGAAUGGGAGCAUUUCAGAGAGGAGCCCAGUCGAGUCCAUAGCUACACCACCUGCCACCUCUCUUCCCGGCUUCCUGUGUCCUGAAGGCACCGCACUCAGGCAGCCCAAGGGGCCCCCAGGACGCUGCCGACAGGGGCCACCCGACGGCGGGGGCGUGGCGCGAGCCGAGGCACAGCCACCGUCACAGACGCAGCCCCUCGGCUCUGCAUGACGUGCGUUCAUCUUCGCUCAGAACCGUCAACUCAUUUUCGGCACAGAAUGAAGAUAAAUCGCUCUGCUCCGGAAAACCACAUUUAGCAUCUCCUUCUUCUUGCGGGGCAGGGAAGUUUUCCUCGACAAAGCGUUGGUAUUGCAGAUGGUUUGCCAUCUGCCGCCUUCCCUCACGCUGUCACCUUAGAAGCUGACUUGUCAGGUUCGAGGAGUAAAAGCUUAAUUAACGA